UCCAGCAGACUGACAGGCUGUUCUCUACUUGAUGUGGAGAGUGGAACACACAGAACUUUAAAUCUCUGCCUGUUUCAGUCUUUGGGGACAUUUUCAGGGAGUUUGGGUAGUUUGAUCUGCCUUCUACAUUGUGAAUAAUGUCACCAAUUGCUGCCUUCUCUGCAGCACCUAAAAAUCUUCCUCUUGAUAUAGUUUGCUCUUACAUCUAGUAUAUUUGCCUGCAUAUCUGACCUAGACACAGGAUAAGCAAAUUUAGGUAUUUAAUUUAAAUCUCUUCCCUUCCUCCAUGCUUGGCCUUCAGAAAAUGGUUUUGGUUUUGGGUUGUGUUUUUUUUGUGAAGGAAGGAAGGAAAAGCACUGAACUUCUGUUUACCUCAUUUUGUUUGAACAGAGCCCUGUGUGUUAACCCUCUGCCGCACAAUGAAACUCUGUACAGUGAAAAUUGGCUAAGUGGGUCCUUAUUCAGCGUCAUUCAUCACCAUGGCAUAGCCUCGUGCAUACAUGGCAGAUUUACAUCAGUGAAACUGAGGAAGGAAAACAAAAAGCCCAUGAUCUAAAAGAAGGCCUCAUGUUAUUUAUGAAGUGCCAGUAAUGUCCUGAGGACUAGAUGAAGAUCUAAUGAGCCUUGUUCUGCAAGGGUGCUGGUGGCAGGGUGACAUGCCACCGAACAAUGCAGCAAAGGGGGCAACAUGUUUGGCAACUUGGGGCUCCUUAAAGGCACUUUGUAGUGUGCAUUUUGCACACUAGGCUCUCCACUUCAGAGGAUGAGGAAUGCAUAUGGGAAGUUCAACAGUAAGUACAGACAGUAAAAUUAGUUAAAGGAAAGAGUGUUCCUAUUGUAUUUGCUUAUUUGAAGCCUCAGGACCUUCACGAGGCCAGGAAGCCACAGUGAUAGGUUCAGAUCCCACUUUGCUUAUUUUGUUCGAGCUAAAUAAAUGUCAACAAAUAUCAGAGGGGAUGCAGAGAUGAAUGCAGAAAUGUGCUUCUUGGAGUCUGUAACUCAUUCUCCUUGAGAGGCUCAAAUACAUACCUUCCCUUGUGUGUCUGCUGUAUUUCAGUGAGGGACCAGCAGCAGCUCCAAAGUUGUUACCCAGGAGCCCAAACCCGUAAGCCAGGCUCAGCCCAGCUUCAUCAGGAGCAUCCUUAGGAUGCUGCUGGGCUGGGAGCAGGGUAUGUGGUGUCAGCUGGUACCUGCUGCUCAUUCUCAAAUGAGCAAAGGUUUUUGAUAGCAGUGGCAGUGCUUGCUCAACAGCCAGCGGCCAGGCCAUGAGGAAGCCUUCUCUCACUCUCUGUACCCUGGUGGUUUGUGUUAAAGGAGAAAUUGCAUCUCUUGGCCCUGGGUGAGAUGAGAGUUAUUCUGGUUUCCGAGGCGUUGCUUUUUGGUGAGUGUCUCCAGCUGCUGCACUCCCCUUCACUCAGGGCACUGACUCAUGCUUUUUGCCAUCACAAUAAGUCUGUUUUCAUAAACAAAAUUAAGUGCACUGUGUUUAUUCAUUAGGGAGAGUUGAAGUCUCUCAGCAACCAAGAAAUAUGCUUUGUUGGAUGAACUCCUCUCCCUCUUCCACCCUCCUGUCUUCUACCAGCUAAGGGAAAAAAGAGAUCUGGGACAAUACCGGCCUGAUGCUAUCAGCGUGUUGAUCCUGGCCUGCUGAUGUGCAGCAUGACAACUGAGGAGACAGUAUUGACUCUUCAGCUGGGUUUGUACAUCUCAGAGACUCAGUUUUCCAGAGAGGGAUAUUUAAAAUUGCACAAAAGUGAACAGGAAAAAAAAGGGACAGGUUCAUGAACUAGGCUUUAAGCAGCACUCCAGGUAAACACAGCACAGAUGAGGGGUCUGCUUGACAGAAAGAGAAGUUUGUCUGGCAUGUGGAUGGCUCUGUGCCUGUGGCUCCUUCUGGUUUUGGGUAGGACUGGGCAUGGGCAUGGGCAGAGCCAAGCAUGGAAGUUUGUCUGAUGCCCCUGUGCUAGAGUCCUUGAGGCGUUGCUGCUGCUGUCCCUGUUGUGUCAUCUCACCCCCAGCCUCCUCUCUCCUUCUCACAGUGGGAACACAGCUGCACCCAGCCCCUUAUCCUCUGUGGGACAAAUUCAAUUUGCCUACAGCGCUGAUGGGUUUUAAGCUGGAUCUGCACCAAGAGCACCAGAUACCCUGUGCCAACAGCAACAACGUUCACAUGAUCCGUGGUUUCCAUGCCAGACAAUUCUAUGGGACUUGAGUGCGGCAGUUGCUUACCUUCCAGCGAGCCAGCAGCCAGUCUUCAUCAGGGGUCAUUCCUUGGUAAGAAAUGCAGGCACUCACCUCAAACUUCAUGAAUCUGAGGGAGUGGAGCAUGGGCAUUGAUCUGGAAUCAGACUUCUGAUAACUGGAAUUUGUCCCCAGUUAUUACUGCAGUUGCUGGAGCUGGGACACUGGGUAAGUCCAUUCCCCAUGCCCCAGUUUCACCAUCUGUCCAAACAAGGUCAUAAUAUUUCCCUGAGAAAUUAGUGCUGUGGGGCUGAAAAACCACUGGGUAAACCCAAGGAAUUUUGUAAUCUUAAAAUGUUUAAAUUUU